rnacentral:lncRNA from 1 species
AUCUCCAGGUAAAUAACCUGCUUUGAGUCUAACCCCCGAUCUCCACCUUCAUCCUGAUCGUCUCCUAAAAGGUCGUAUCCUCCGAUCGUAGCUGAUCGUAACCAUUCAAGUUAACGUGUCAAUUUACACCGACUUCUUUCCGUCGGACGCCGGAGCAUGGCGGAUAAAUUCAGCACAGAUUAACCCGUGCUGGAAAGGAAGUCGGGCACAGACACAAAAUAAAACAUCCGGCUUCUUUUCAAAAUAAAACACAACCUUUUGCUUGUUCGGACAGAGACGAACAAGUGAAAGGUUUUUAGACGUCAUUUCACCCCGAUGACACCAUGGAUGAGGAGAUGCUGAUUCUAGAAGUCUAGAAGUAGAUUUCCUCCUCUGGAAGGACACAAUCUACUGCUUAUAUGUCUAUGUGUCUGUCUUUAGAGAGACAACUCGUUAUCGUGAGAUUGAACGUGAAUCUGCAGGUUCUUGUGAGUUCUUCUGAUUCCUGCUGUCUGUAAUCCGCCACGGAAUUCGCCUCACAAACAGAUCUGGUAGGAAUUGGCGGACA